rnacentral:tRNA from 1 species
GUUUUAAUAGUUUAUUCAAAAUAUUACCUUUGUAACGUAAAGAAGGACACCUUAAAGCU